GAGAGAGAGAGAGAGAGAGUGCACAUUUGCAUGGAGGUUGCUUCUAUUUUAAUUUACAUAUGCCUCUUUCUCUCUAGUCUACUCUCUUAUUCCUUCUUCAUCAAGAAGAAAACAAGGAUAUCCAAACCAAAAGCUAAGCUUCCUCCAGGUUCAAUGGGAUGGCCUUACGUGGGUGAAACUUUACAACUCUACUCUCAAGACCCAAAUGUCUUCUUUACCACAAAGCAAUUAAGAUAUGGAGAAAUAUUCAAAACCCACAUACUUGGGUGUCCUUGUGUCAUGCUGUGUAGUCCUGAGGCUGCAAGGUUUGUGCUGGUGACUCAUGCUCACUUGUUCAAGCCUACAUACCCCAAAAGCAAAGAAAGACUAAUUGGACCUUCAGCUCUCUUUUUUCACCAAGGAGAGUAUCAUAAUCACCUGAGGAAGCUAGUUCAAGGUUCAUUAUCUCCAGACACGAUCAGGAAACUAAUUCCAGAUAUUGAAUCAAUGGCCAUUUCAGCCUUGGAAUCAUGGGCUGAUGGGCAUGUCAUCAACACUUUCCAUGAGAUGAAGAAGCUUUCUUUCCAAGUAGGUAUUCUCUCUAUCUUUGGUCUCUUGGACAGCAACUACAGAGAGAAGCUAAAUGAGAAUUACCACAUAAUGGAUAAGGGUUACAAUUCUUUUCCAUCAAACAUUCCUGGAACUCCCUAUCAAAAAGCUCUCUUGGCGAGGAAAAGACUUGAUCAAAUCCUUGGUGAGAUCAUCUGUGAAAGAAAGGAGAAAAGACUGCUAGAGAAGGAUCUCUUGGGUCGUUUUCUCAACUUCAAAGAUGAAAAUGGGCAAAUUUUAACUGAAGAUCAGAUAGCUGAUAACAUUAUAGGAGUACUUUUUGCAGCUCAAGAUACUACUGCUAGUGCUUUAACAUGGAUUCUGAAAUACCUUCAUGAUGACCAGAAACUCCUUGAAGCUGUAAAGGCUGAGCAAAUGGCAAUAUGUGAAGCAAAUAAUGGAGGAAAGAAGUCCCUAAGAUGGACACAGACAAGGAAUAUGCCACUUACGUAUA
rnacentral:misc_RNA from 1 species